AAAGGUGAUAACUCGCGCUCUCAGCGUGAUAGCAAGAGGAAGAAAGUGCUUGAGAUCUAAGCCGUCGAGGUUGAGCGACGACGAGAGUAUGGUGGUGUUGAGCAAGUUAAUUGAAGAAUGAAUUGUUUAUCUUUGAUCUGUGUGUAGAAGGUUUCGACAGGUCCAGGAACAAAGAAGGACGUUUGCAUGGCGAAGGGGAAUGGCGAUAAAAGUGAGCAUUGUGGAGAAUAUGAC